UACGAAGGGGGCUAGCGUUGCUCGGAAUCACUGGGCGUAAAGGGUGCGUAGGCGGGUUUUUAAGUCAGGGGUGAAAUCCUGGAGCUCAACUCCAGAACUGCCGUUGAUACUGAAGAUCUUGAGUCCGGGAGAGGUGAGUGGAACUGCGAGUGUAGAGGUGAAAUUCGUAGAUAUUCGCAAGAACACCAGUGGCGAAGGCGGCUCACUGGCCCGGUACUGACGCUGAGGCACGAAAGCGUGGGGAGCAAACAGG
rnacentral:rRNA from 1 species